rnacentral:rRNA from 1 species
UACGGAGGGGGUUAGCGUUGUUCGGAAUUACUGGGCGUAAAGCGCGCGUAGGCGGAUUAGAAAGUUGGGGGUGAAAUCCCGGGGCUCAACCUCGGAACUGCCUCCAAAACUGCUAGUCUAGAGUUCGAGAGAGGUGAGUGGAAUUCCGAGUGUAGAGGUGAAAUUCGUAGAUAUUCGGAGGUACACCAGUGGCGAAGGCGGCUCACUGGCUCGAUACUGACGCUGAGGUGCGAAAGUGUGGGGAGCAAACAGG